rnacentral:rRNA from 1 species
UACGUAGGUGGCGAGCGUUGUCCGGAAUUACUGGGUGUAAAGGGCGUGUAGGCGGGAUUGUAAGUCAGAUGUGAAAUUCCAAGGCUCAACUUUGGAGCUGCAUCUGAAACUGUGAUUCUUGAGUGCUGGAGAGGAUAGUGGAAUUCCUAGUGUAGCGGUGAAAUGCGUAGAUAUUAGGAGGAACACCAGUGGCGAAGGCGGCUAUCUGGACAGUAACUGACGCUGAGGCGCGAAAGCGUGGGGAGCAAACAGG